UUACGGUCAAAUCACGCUGAAAACACCGGUUCUCGUUCGAUCACCGAAGUUAAGCAUCGUAGAGCCAGGUCAGUAGUUAGAUGGGGGACCGCUUGGAACACCUGGUACUGUAAG
rnacentral:rRNA from 1 species